GACGAACGCUGGCGGCGUGCUUAACACAUGCAAGUCGAACGGAAAGGCCCUGCUUUUGUGGGGUGCUCGAGUGGCGAACGGGUGAGUAACACGUGAGUAACCUGCCCUUGACUUUGGGAUAACUUCAGGAAACUGCGGCUAAUACCGGAUAGGAGCUCCUGCUGCCUGGUGGGGGUUGGACAGUUUCGGCGGUUGGGGAUGGACUCGCGGUUUAUCAGCUUGUUGGUGGGGUAGUGGCUUACCAAGGCUUUGACGGAUAGCCGGCCUGAGAGGGUGACCGGCCACAUUGGGACUGAGAUACGGCCCAGACUCCUACGGGAGGCAGCAGUGGGGAAUAUUGCACAAUGGGCGGAAGCCUGAUGCAGCAACGCCGCGUGCGGGAUGACGGCCUUCGGGUUGUAAACCGCUUUCGCCUGUGACGAAGCGUGAGUGACGGUAAUGGGUAAAGAAGCACCGGCUAACUACGUG
rnacentral:rRNA from 1 species